UUGUUUUGCUUAUGGUUUCCUUUGCUGUGCAAAAGCUUAUAAGUUCAAUUACGUCCCAUUUGUUUAUUUUUGCUUUUAUUUCUGUUGCUUGGGUAAAUUGCCAUAGGAGAACACUUCUGAGAUUUAUGUUAAAUAAUGUUUUGCCUGCUUUCUUCUAAGAGUGUCUUGUCUUAUGUGUAAGCCAUUAAGCCAUUUUGAGUUUAUUUUUGUGUGUGGUGUCCAACCUAUAAUUUUGAAACAUACUUGUUUUCUGGAAAUAUAAGAAGUCACAAAAUUAUUCUAUUUUUAAUAAUCCAGAUGUGUAUCUAACUAUUCCUUAAAAGAGCCUUAUUUUUUCCCAUUGAAUAAAGGUGUUAGAGAACAAAAUCUUGGGGUCCUGGAAAGCUGGAAGAUUGAGUAUAAGUAGUAAUGAGUUGGAAGCAUGUUGAAUAUAUACAAGUAAACUCGAAGUGUGAAGACCUUUAUGUGUUAAGUUGAUGGCCACCAGAGGGCAUUCCACCAAGGAAGAGUCACUAAACACUGAAAUAGACAAAAUUAUUGAUCCAUUUGACAUCAGACAGCUUCCUUCAUCAGCCAGACCACUGCUAGCAUGAUGAACACAUGAACAAAGAGGCUGCAGUGACAAAGAUAAAAGCUAUUCACGUACCUCACUUAUCAAGGUUGAUCUAGCUGCUUCCACAGCCAAAUGUACAAUAUGCCAGCAGUAAAGACAAACACUAAACCCUUUAUAUGGUAGGAACGGCUUCAGUUAACAUUGCUCACAAUGACCUGCUUGGGAAAUUUGUGCUUCCCAUUUCAGAAACUCUGGGGUCUGCAGAGUUAGACUUUGUCCCUAAAAGAAAACAUUUCCACCAGGGGACAUAGCAAAUUCCCACUAUAUAAUAAGCUAAAGCUGUAACCUCAGUCCUUUGGGUUCCAUUUGACUAAGGUCCAACAGACAAGAGCGGAGCCACCAACUUGACAGGAGAAAGUGACCCUGAUCAUCAGGAGGAAGUAGGGCUGCUAUGACACACUGGGCCCAAGGGAAAAUAUGUUUGGCACCCAGAUGACCAACUUGAGUGCCUCCUGGUACACACUCACCCAUUACUUUGGUAAUUGGAUAUAUGCAACAAUCCCAUUUUGAGAAGGGCAUGAUGACAAGGGCUCGUAUCUCUUGGGCAUGAAAGUGCGGAUUAUACCACCAGAUAAUCCACUGACACCAGCAGACAUGCUAGUGAAGGUGAGGAGAAACCUAGAAUGGAUAGUAGAGAAAUGAGACAAUGAUUAUCAGUUCUAACCCUGAAACCAUUUUCGGUGGUAGGGACUAUAGGUCAUCCCAUUAAACUUUCUCCUCUAAGUAUCCCCCAGGAAGAAAGGCCCAGCAGAACCAUGAAGGAGCUGCUCUCUGAAUAUGUAUGAAGAGGAUCUGAGCAGCACAGAGAGUAGAUUGUAAGGACAUGGACAUGCACCACUCAGAUUCCACUUCCAUGAAAGACUUGUUUCUGGGAUGCUGCUGGGAAUGCCAGGGGUGCUGUCAGUGGGCACUCUUCAGCUGUCACAUCCUUACCAGGGCAGGCCACAUCCAAUGACUAAGGUGGAAAUGUAAAGACCCAGCCAUUUCAGCCUAACACAGCACAGCUCUAAAGGGCCAUUUUAGCUUCAGAAUUCUCCAUUUCUCUCUCUGCUGAAUCCUGCUUCCAUCACCUCCACCCCACAGGUGUUAAUCUCAAAGAACACACUAGCAAACACCCUACACUCUGUCCCACAGUCUGCUUCCCAGAGAUCUUAACAAAGUAACAUAGCUCCUGGCUUGUUGUUGGACCACGAUAGAGGCUGAACCCCUGACUGUAGGACAUAAAGUGAGCAUGUCAUCUCAGAUGCCUGUAAUUUACUGGAUGUUACCUGAUUGAUCAAACCAUAAAAUUGCAGUAUGUGUAGCAGCACUCCAUCUUCAAGUGGAAGUAUUAAUACAAGAUCAUAUGUGAGCAGGUCUGGAGAGCAUAAAUAUGUUUCAGGAGUGGAAGGUUUACAUUGGCAAUACACCUAAUGCUCCUGCAUUACCUCUGCUCUUUCACUUUACAUCUAUGGCCUCAUGGGGAGUUCCUGGUGAUCAGAUCACUAAAGAGGGAAAAUCUGAGCCUAAUUUAAAAAUAUUUCCACACAGAAAUCUGGCACAAACUAUAAGGAGGGUACUAGAGUGUUAUAUCCCACAGGACUGGCUCAGAAGGGCCAAAGGGAAGGGAACCCUUCAUGAAGGAAAGGACUUUGUAGGGUGUUUUUGGGUUUUGGUUUUUAAUUGAAGUAUAGUUGACUUACAAUAUUAUUUUACUUUCAGAUGUACAACAUAGUGAUUCAAUAUUUUUUAGAUUGUACUCCAUAUAAUUUUAUUAUAAAAUAUUGGCUAAAUUCCCUUUACUGUACAUUAUGUCUUUGUAGCUUAUUUAUCUUACUCUUAGUAGUUUGUACUGCUUAAUCCCCUUCACCUACCUUGCCCCUCCCACUUGGUAAGAAAGCAUUUUGAGUGGUACAUCUGACUGUUCACUUUUCCUGGAAACAAAGAUGGCCAAAGGUAUGGAUUUGCAUUUGUAUUCGUUUUCUAGGGCUGCCAUAACAUAGUACCACGAACUGGGUGGCUUAAAUAAUACAAAUGUAUUGUCUCAGUUCUGGAGGCCAGAGGUCUGAAAUCAGGGUGUUAGCAGAGUUGGUUCCUUGUGAAGACUGAGAGGAAGAAUCUGUUCCAGGUCUCUUUCCUCGGCUUGUAGUUGGCCACCUUCUCCCUGUAUCUCUUCACAUGGUCUUCUCUCUAUGAGUAUCUGUUCCUAUGUUUAAAUUUCCCCUUUUUAUAAGGACAUCAACCCUACUGGUUUAGGACCCAUCCCAAUGACCUUGUUUUAACUUGAUUACCUCUAUUAAGACCGUAUCUUCAAAUUAAGUUACAUUCUGAGGUACGAGGGAUUAGGAUGUCAAUAUAUCUUUUUCAGCGAGGACACAAUUCAAACAGCAUUUGUUCAUGGAAUAAAAAAGGAAUAAGAUUAGAAGGAUAGUAACAAGAAAAUCUGGGUAUCAUCUCUUGCUCUGAGCCUCUUAUGAGGUGUUAAUGUCAUAUUAAAUUUCCCUCAUUACAUUAUCCAUUUAUUCAUUCCUUUACCAAUAACUAGUAUUUUUUCUUCUCUCCAUUUAAUCCCAAACUUUCCCACCUUUGGGAGGAACAUUAGAUUCAGCCACUAGGCUCAUGCAGAUUGCAGACAGCAAUACUAGUCUAGCAAGUGCUUCUUCCUCUGUCCUCUCUUGUUCCCAUGGAGUAAGGUACAUAGAUGCAGAACUAGUGGGCUGUCUCUACCACCAGGCAAUAUAGCUGCAUUCACUGUUAAUCCCAAUUUUACCAGAUGGGGUGAAGGUACAUCCUGCCCCAUUAGGCCCUUGAGAAUUCUGACAUAAAGUUAAAAACAUAAUUAUAGUUCCUUGCUUAGGAAUCCAUUCAUGCUUCCUGCCCUUUUAAUUGCAGCCCUGGUCCUAUGACCAAUGCAUCAAGCAGGAGGGGAAAUAGAAAAAGCUGAGAUUAUGUGGAGAAGAAGGUAUACCAGCACCUUCCCCAACCUUCCUGCUCCAGAUCCACCAGGAAAACAAGAGAAAUCUAUUCAGUGGGGACACUCCUUUAGACCCCCUCAUGUUGAGUGUGAGCACACAGUGGUGAAGGCGUGUAAGCAAGCCCCUCAUGCUUUUAUCUCUCCCUGUUUUAGACAACCAGUGUUUUAAUUGCCUGUUCUAAUUCUGUACCAAACUAUUACUCUGAGGAGGAUAUAUCUCUGCCCAUCGUUGGACACUAUGGGCUGUAAACUGAGGUCACUGGUCUGAAGAAAUGAUGAUCAGCCAUCCAAAUUGAUGGAAUAUCUUCUGUUCCAGUUCUUUCACAGUAUUCUAACCACCAGGGCGGUGGCCUUCCGAACAGGAUGUUGUCCAUUCACCUUGGAACUAUCACCUCCAAACCCAGCAGCUCUUUGUCAGUCAGUCAAGGGCUCUUUAUAGGGCACAGCCCAUGUGACAACAGAAUCCAGCAACUCCUCAUGCAGUUCCAGAGUCAAUACUAGGAGAAAAGAGGCUCCCUGCUGAACUGUUCCUGGAAGCUUCCCUCUCUUCUUGAAGGUAAACUCCACAGGCUGCCUUCCUAAACUGCUGUGAGCAUUCUGAAUUCAAACGGACUGCUGAGCCCACAACCACACCAGGCGGCACUGACUAUGAGGCAGCAGAGAAUGGCUCCAGCUCCCGCACUUCCCAUGCAGAAUGCUUCCAGAUGUUGUCCGUACACAGGAGGUGGAGAAACUGAUAUUAUAGACAAGCAAGACAGCUUGGAACUGACUGUCUUGGGAGGUCCCUUUCAGACUGGAUUGUUUGGACUGAACUAUCAUGAUACUGCCUCUGCCCUACAAGGCAUUUGAGUCAGCUUCAACGUACCAACCAGAGUUGUGCUGUGUCUGAGUUGAUGCCUUGGGCCAGGUAAAAAGGUUACAACAAAAACUGAAGCAGGAAGAUACCUGGCUUUCUAAGAUAGGCCUUUAUGGUUAGUGAGAUUUGUUUAACUGGCCAAAUCUAGGACCUGCAACUGCUGUACUUAGAAAGACCUUCUGGCAAGGUUGGCCCUUUGUUUGCAUCUGGGAUUUGGAUUUUAGGAGUGUCCCCAACAUUUCAUAACUGAUGUAGGUGGUUUAUUGUGCCCUAACUGUAUAUACAGACGAUGUAGUUUAUGCUAGGCAGGGGAUGCCCAUAUGACCAGCACCCAAUAAAACCCCUCGAUUUCUAGACUCAGGUAAGCUUCCCUGGUAGACAACACUUCAUAUACAUUGUUAAAAUUUGAUGCUGGAAGAAUUAGCACAUUCUAUGUGAAUCCAAGGGGAGAGGAUUCUUAGAAGUUUGUAUCUACUCUCCUCCAGACUUUCUCCUGUGCACAUUUUCCCUUUGCUGAUUUUUCUUUGUAUCCUUUUACUGUAUUCCUUUACAUACUCAUAUACAUGAGUAUGAUUACAUGCUGAGUCUCAGGAGUCUUUCUAGCAAAUCACCAAACCUGGGGAUGGUCUUAGGGACCUCCAAGGCCAAACCCUUUCAUUUGUUCCCUGACCGGUAGAGUAAGAAACAUUACAGCAGAAAACCUGAAAUAUCCCUUUCCCUAACCAAGAUAGUAGAUCAUAAGUAACACUGCAUCCUAAUAAGAAUUUCAGAGAUUAGCACUACAUCCUAAAACUUAAAGCAUGCAGAGGUAAUAGUCUGCAUCAUAUCCGCAUUUACUUCACCUAUUCACCCCGACUAUGAUGGCUCAUAGUGAUGACAAUGGACUGCAAUUUACUGAACCAAUUAGUUGCUCCAAUUACAGCUGCCAUACCAGUGGUUAUCUUUACUGAAGUAGAUCAAUAUGACCUUUAGCACUUGGUAGGUGGCUGUUUUCCUGAUGAACGCAUUCAUCUUAAAUCCAUCAGUGAAUGAAGUCAGAAGCAGUUCAUCUACUCAUUACAGGAUAGCAAAACACAUUCACUGUCUUGCCCCAGAGCUAUGUGAACUCUUUCACUUUCUUUUGUAACAUACUCCACAAAGACCUCAACAUUGAACCUUCCGAAGAACAUAAUGUUAGACUACUGUAUUGAUGACAUUGUGCUAAUUGGGCCUAAUGAGCAGUAAACAAAAAGGACCCUGGAUGACUUAGCAGGCCCAUGUAUGUCAAAGAGUAAAAGAUUAGCCCCAUGAAAAUUAAGGGGCCUGCCCCAUCAGAGAUGAUGCUAGGGGCCUGGGCAUGCCAGGAAAUUCCCCUGAGGUAAAAUACAAGUUAUUGCUUGCAUCCCCUGCCACUAAGGAAGAGGCACUGUUUUGGGGGACCUCUUUAGAUUUUAGAGGCAAUAUAUAUCAUAUGUGGAACUCAAAAUGCUGCAAGGUUUAAGCAGGGCCUGGAGUAAGAAAAAAGAUAUGUAGGAGAUCAAGGCUAUAAUACUAGCCAAUCUAAUGUGACCUAGUCAAUCUGAAGUUGCUAGAAAUGCCCAUGGUGAUUAAGGAUGCUGUGUGGAGUUUCCAGGAAGCCACAGUAGGAGAAUUAUAAUGCAAACAUUAUAGUGGAGAUCCAUGCCUUCUAUAGCAAUUAACUUCUCUGUGUUUAUAUAGAUGCUGUCAUGCUCCUGAGCCCUAGUAGAGACUGAGUGGCUGACUAUGAGACACUAAAUGAUCAUCAUGCCAUCAGAGGUGCUCAUCGUGGGCUGGUAUCAUCAGAGCCUUAACCUUAAACAUAAGGUUAGGUAGGUAUAGGAGCUGAGCAGUGGCAAAUGAAUUUGCUGGUUGGCUUAGCACCUGGAAGCCUGUGGCUUAGCACAAUCAUUAUAUUAGAGACAAGAAAACUGAUUUACUGAACAAAUAUAAAGGAUCAAAUUCAGCAAGUA